rnacentral:rRNA from 1 species
AGUGGAUGGGGAGCAACCUAGUUGUGCGUGUGUAAAGGUAGUGCCAAGAAAAGCGAUGAUCAUGUUGAAAAUCAAUUCCCGGUACCCGAAACCGACACAGGUGGGCAAGUAGAGAAUACUAAGGGGCGCGAGGUAACCCUCUCCAAGGAACUCGGCAAAAUGACCCCGUAACUUAGGGAGAAGGGGUGCCACCGAGAGGUGGUCGCAGUGAAGAGGCCCAGGCGACUGUUUAGCAAAAACAUAGGUCUCUGCAAACUCGAAAGAGGAGGUAUAGGGGCUGACGCCUGCCCAGUGCCGGAAGGUUAAAGAAGUUGGUCAGUUUUAGGAUGAAGCUAGCGACUGAAGCCCCGGUGAACGGCGGCCGUAACUAUAACGGUCCUAAGGUAGCGAAAUUCCUUGUCGGGUAAGUUCCGACCCGCACGAAAGGCGUAACGAUCUGGGCGCUGUCUCGGAGAGAGGCUCGGCGAAAUAGGAUUGUCUGUGAAGAUACGGACUACCUGCAUUUGGACAGAAAGACCCUAUGAAGCUUUACUAUAGCUUGGAAUUGUGUUCGGGCUUCCUGUGCGCAGGAUAGGUGGGAGGCGUAGAAGGUAUUCUUGUGGGGAUACUGGAGCCAACGGUGAGAUACCACUCUCAGGAGGCUAGAAUUCUAACUUAAUUAAGGACAGUUUCAGGUGGGUAGUUUGACUGGGGCGGUCGCCUCCAAAAAGGUAACGGAGGCGUACAAAGGUUCCCUCAGACUGGUUGGAAAUCAGUCGAAGAGUGCAAAGGCAGAAGGGAGCUUGACUGCGAGAAGUACAGUUCGAGCAGGGUGGAAACACGGUCUUAGUGAUCCGACGGUGCUGUGUGGAAGGGCCGUCGCUCAACGGAUAAAGGUUACUCUAGGAUAACAGGCUGAUCUCCCCCAAGAGUUCACAUCGACGGGGAGGUUUGGCACCUCGAUGUCGGCUCAUCGCAACCUGGGGCGGAAGUACGUCCCAAGGGUUGGGCUGUUCGCCCAUUAAAGCGGUACGUGAGCUGGGUUCAGAACGUCGUGAGACAGUUCGGUCCAUAUCCGAUGUAGGCGUGAGAAUAUUGAGAGGAGCCUUCCUUAGUACGAGAGGACCGGGAAGGACGCACCGCUGGUGUACCUGUUAUGAUGCCAAUUGUAAACGCAGGGUAGCCAAGUGCGGAGAGGAUAACCGCUGAAAGCAUCUAAGUGGGAAGCCCACCUCAAGAUGAGUAUUCUGGUGUAAGGUCACGGGAAGACGACCCGUAAAUAGGCACGAGGUGGAAGUGCAGAGAUGUAUGAAGCCGAAGUGUACUAAUAGACCGUCGGCUUGAUC